AAAUGGAGGGAGAAGGAAUAUAAAAAAGAAGAUGAUAUUAGUGGUAGUAACUGUAGUAACAACACACAAACAUGCUCUCUGUUAAACUAUGAUAACGACUGUAAUCAUAACCAGGAUAUAACAAAAAUAUCUAAAAAGCAUACACCAACAAGGAUAGAAAAACCUCAAAUGUGUAAAACAUAUAUGAACAACAAACUAGAAUGCAAUAUCAAAAAUACAUUAAAAAAUAUAGUAGAUAAUAAUAAUAAUAAUAAGUAUAAAGUAUCUUUUUUGUGUGAACACAUUAAUGUUGUAUAUAAUUGUAAUAAAAAAUGUUUUGAAAAAAUACAAAAUUAUAAACAGAAAAUAAAUCUGAACAAUUAUAUGAAUAGUUUGUAUUCACUUAAAAUACUUAACUUGUCAGGUAUACAAAGUUAUGAUAUGAUUGAAAUGUUUAUAGAAAUAAAUUUACCAAAUUUGAAAAUAUUGAAUAUAUUAUGUUAUGAUUAUUUUUUUUAUUUUUAUCAUAUGCUUAUAUCUACAUGUUUGUAUGGGAAUGGGAAAGAAGUGUUUACAAGAUAUGUCAAUUAUAAAAGAAGAGAAAAUUCAGGAAAUUGUUACAAUAGCAGUUAUUAUUAUACUAAUAACAAUAACAGUAGUGAUUGUCAUAAUGAUAAAAAAAAAGAAGUUUACGAAUGCAACAGACAGAUAUAUAACAUGAUAAAAGAACUCGACGUUCAAUUAAGCGAAAUAAAUAAUUAUAACAAUAGUAAUAGUAAUAGUAAUAGUAAUAACAGUAAUAAAAACAACGGCAGCAAUCACAAUAGUAAUAAUAAUAAAAAGAACGACCAUAACAACAAAAACAGUAACAAUAAUAAUAACACGUUUUUUAGUUUUCAAAAACUCUAUGAAGAAGAAGACAUUAUUAAUUAUUAUGAAUUAAAUAUAAAAAAUAAUGAAAAAAAAGUUUUUAUUACACCUACAUAUGAUGAUAAAAUAUACAUGAACAAUAUAAGUAACCCUAUAUACUAUGCAGAUGGUAGUUAUAUAAGAUACGAUUCAGAUGGUGAAUAUAAAUCUGGUUAUAUACAAAACAAUUUAAAAGAAAAAGCAACUAAUAUAAGAAACUAUACUGACCCUAGUCCUAGUAAUAGUAGUAAUUGCUCAGUUAUCACUCCCGAUUUGUAUUUUAACAGAAACUCACCAAAAUAUAAAACAAAUAAUAUUAUGAACAACAAGCUGCAAAAAAAGAUAGAUCAUAGCAAUAGUGAAAAGGGUUAUACUCAAAAGAGCGAUAACAUAUGCAACAACGCACAUACCGAUACUUGUACUGACACACGUAUUGACAUACAUACCGACACACGUGCUGACACACAUACCGAGGUGUACAGUCAAGCCGACCGAGUUAACUACUUAAAAACAUUAAAGAUAA
rnacentral:lncRNA from 1 species